rnacentral:rRNA from 1 species
UGGGGAAUAUUGCACAAUGGGCGCAAGCCUGAUGCAGCCAUGCCGCGUGUAUGAAGAAGGCCUUCGGGUUGUAAAGUACUUUCAGCGGGGAGGAAGGGAGUAAAGUUAAUACCUUUGCUCAUUGACGUUACCCGCAGAAGAAGCACCGGCUAACUCCGUGCCAGCAGCCGCGGUAAUACGGAGGGUGCAAGCGUUAAUCGGAAUUACUGGGCGUAAAGCGCACGCAGGCGGUUUGUUAAGUCAGAUGUGAAAUCCCCGGGCUCAACCUGUGAACUGCAUCUGAUACUGGCAAGCUUGAGUCUCGUAGAGGGUGGUAGAAUUCCAGGUGUAGCGGUGAAAUGCGUAGAGAUCUGGAGGAAUACCGGUGGCGAAGGCGGCCCCCUGGACGAAGACUGACGCUCAGGUGCGAAAGCGUGGGGAGCAAACAGG